AUCUAACAACCAAACACAGCGACAGUGUGGUGGGCGAUCCCCAUUGAAAAUGCACCGGCACGGAGGAUUUAGGGGUAUUAAUGACGAGCCGGGACCCUCGGACUGGACAAGUUUGUAAGGAGCGCAAAAAAGAAAAGAGACGCGGCGCGUCUGUCUUCAGUAAGUGCGCAAAGAGCGCAGAAAAGGAGAGGGCGCAUUACACCUCCGAUAUGACUCAUAUAAUUCACUAUGACUGCUUAUGGGAUGGGGGGGCAGCCUUUAACCUCAAUGCAAAAGGACUCAAUACAGAGAUCGCACAGCGUCUGUCUUCAGUAAAGUGCGCAAAGAGCGCAGAAAAGGAUAGACACACGACACCUCCGAUAUGACUCAUAUAAUUCACUAUUAAUUCAUUGUGACUGCUUAUGGGAUGGCGGAGCUGUGCUUCACAGCCUUCAACCGCAAAGCAAGAAGGACUCAAAAGAGAUCCAGCGUGUAAUGAGGAAACCGGCGAGUUGAACUGAAAGGGCGACUUACAGUCCCUGAUAUUUCAAAGAGGAGAGACCCUACAUCACACGCCACCUAUCUUCACGGGGAGGGAUAAUUGAGGCGCACCAAACGUGAGCAUCCUCUGGAAAACGUGAUCAAGUUUUUUUUUUUUCCUCUCUCUCUCUUCUUUUUUUAUGAUCCGGGAGAAAUGAGCUGAGUCGGAUUACCUUGCAAUCCAAGCAAGGAUAAUAUUUGGAGGAAGUUGGAGCUCCCCCAGUCCUGCCCCAGCCUCCAGAGCCGUCACGACAAAAGGGGACCGAGCGGAAAUCGUGCCGCAGCGGCUGGUGACCCUCAGCGUCCAGAGCGCCGAAAUAUCUGCUUACUUACGUCUGAGCGUCUGCCAGCGCGUCUCUCUCAUUAUUCAUUCGCUCAUACCAACACCUUCAUUUUUUAUUACACUCCAAUUACUGUAACACCGUCGUUUCCACUUCUACCUCUCUAUUCGUUUGCCUUUACUUGCAUUUAUUUAUUUAUCCGUUUGUUUGUUUAAUUAUCUAUAUUUAUUGUUGAUUUUGUUAUUUUAUUUAUUUAUUGUAACGGGUUAUGUUUUCGCGCUGUUUGUAAACUGAAACUAAAUGUGACGUAUUUCCCUUUUCUCUUGUUUCACAUUUUGAUGAUUACUUUUUUGUUUUGUUUUCUUUUGCUUUGCUUUGUCUUGUGUUUUGUUGUGCUGCGUUGUGUUUUAAUAGCCAUACCAGAAUUUGACCGCGUAUGACUCUUGUAAUGGGUCCGUGGUAGCCUAAUUAACUAAAUUGCUGGAUAGUGCUUAUCUAUUUUAUUUUAUCUAAAUAAUCAAAAAUUGAAUUCAUGUAGGGGAAGAUACAAACAUGUAAAAUAAAUUAAUUUAUAAUAUAUUUAAAAUGUACAUCGUGACCUCGCGUGCACUGUUAAAUAUUGAGAGAAAUAUUGUUGACCACCGUUACUGGCAAACGGGCGUGUUAUUAAGUUAACGGGUGUGGUUCUAAGUUAUUAUUUUGCCACUAUUAAUUACUCUAAAAGUAGAGUUAUCUCAGUUUACACGUGCCGAGCGCAGGCUCCACCUUUGAAACGCACUGAUUGGUUAUGUAAAUAAUGUGUUUUUUCCCCCAUCUAGAUGCAGUGAUCUACUGUAUGGAUAAUUAAAUCAUCAAUCAAGGGGCUGGACUAUUUGAUGCUUUUGUUCAAAGCCAAUCGGCUUCCAAGUGACGGGUAAGCACAGCAAAGGAAAGAUGUUCAACAUCUGGAAAUCAGGAUUUUUCCAAUGGCUCUAGAUUAUUAACCAAUACUGAACUCGUGUCCCCAAGGAUACGAUUAUUUAAUAAUAUGUGAACAACGUGUUAGCAGUCAAAACAUUAUUAUUAUUAUUAUUAUUAUUAUUAUUAUUAUUAUUAUUAUUAUUAUUAUUAGUAUUAUUUGAGGAUUCUGUAUUUUUUGAGUGUUUUAUUGUUUUUUAAAUAAAUGGGCUGCUGGUAAUAAUACGGAAUGUUUUCCAUGCUUAUAAAGUAAAACGAUUUAUUAUUAUUAUUAUUAUUAUUAUUAUUAAUAAUAAUAAUAAUAAUAAUAAUAAUAAUAUUUUGCAAGAAGAUGACGGCACAUUUUGUUCUGUUUCCUUAUAUGUCUAAUAAUUACGCAGGCGCCCUGCGACAUUUUAAAUAAAACGUCAAUUACUUACCGCAACUUUAUGGUGAGUAUUCGUUCUUUCUCAUAUUAGGUUUUGCCGGAAUUUUUAUUAUUUAUUUAUUUUUUGUAAAUAAGUUGUGUAGUACAACACAGUACAGAAAUCGUGAAUGUACUCCUCAGAUUAAUUACAUUCGCCAGAAUAUUGGACAGGCAUGAUGUCUGUUGCGGGUUGUUCGCUGUAGGGAUUAGCACUGGUGCUGACUGUCUGAUGGGUGUAUUAAUUCGUCUCUCAGGUGAUUGACACCCAUCGUUUUAAUGUUGUGCAUUGCCUUAAAUCGUAUUAUAUAUGAGCAUAUAAUGGAAUAUUUAUUUAAAAAAAAAAAACAGCUAAAAAUUAAUUAACGAGCGGCGCAAAGUAAACAUGCAAACACGCGACUAUCUCUAAUGUCACCUAGAGUAAACGCUGCCCUUUCAUUCGAACGGGAUGUUACCCUCUACACACAGAGUAGUAUUUUGCUUUGGGUUCGUUUCACGGGCGUCUCAAGAGCGUUUUCUAAUGCCGUUACCGAGAUAAAAUAGCAUAUUUUUCUUAAGUCAGGAAGAUUAAUUUCUACUCGAAUAAACAGCAAUACAAAUGCAAAUGGUUACAUUUUUAAUUAAAGUUGCCAUCUCCGUUCUAUUUAUGAAGAAAAAAACAAGUUGGCCUAGUAAAUGUGAUGAGUAGACAUAGAUACUGUUUUGUGUGAAUGUAUGUGUAUUUUUGUAUAUUUUUUAUAUAACAUGUAAUUGUGCAUAUACUGGUUAUUUAAGGUUUUAAGUGAUCCACAUAUGAAAUGCUGUUUUAACAUGUGCAAUAAUAAAACUACAUUCACGCGAA